AUUGAACGCUGGCGGCAUGCCUAACACAUGCAAGUCGAGCGAGCGGCGGACGGGUGAGUAAUGCCUGGGAAUUUCCCAGUCGAGGGUGAUAACAGUUGGAAACGACUACUAAUACCGCAUACGAUUGGAUUGCCCAGGUGGGAUUGGCUAGUUGGUUAGGUAAUGGCUCACCAAGGCGACGAUCCCUAGCCGGUCUGCGAGGAUGAUCAGCCACACUGUAACUGAGACACGGUCCAGAAUCCUACGGGAGGCAGCAGUGGGGAAUAUUGCAAAAUGGGGGAAACCCUGAUGAAGCCAUGCCGCGUGUGUGAAGAAGGCCUUCGGGUUGUAAAGCACUUUUAGCGAGGAUGCGUUACUUGAGGAAGAAGCACCGGCUAACUCCGUGCCAGCAGCCGCGGUAAUUC
rnacentral:rRNA from 1 species